UAGAGUUUUUUAUCCUGGCUCAGGAUGAACGCUGGCGGCGUGCCUAAUACAUGCAAGUCGAGCGAACAGAUAAGGAGCUUGCUCCUUUGACGUUAGCGGCGGACGGGUGAGUAACACGUGGGUAACCUACCUAUAAGACUGGGAUAACUUCGGGAAACCGGAGCUAAUACCGGAUAACAUUUGGAACCGCAUGGUUCUAAAGUGAAAGAUGGUUUUGCUAUCACUUAUAGAUGGACCCGCGCCGUAUUAGCUAGUUGGUAAGGUAACGGCUUACCAAGGCAACGAUACGUAGCCGACCUGAGAGGGUGAUCGGCCACACUGGAACUGAGACACGGUCCAGACUCCUACGGGAGGCAGCAGUAGGGAAUCUUCCGCAAUGGGCGAAAGCCUGACGGAGCAACGCCGCGUGAGUGAUGAAGGGUUUCGGCUCGUAAAACUCUGUUAUUAGGGAAGAACAAAUGUGUAAGUAACUGUGCACAUCUUGACGGUACCUANCAGAAAGCCACGGCUAACNAC
rnacentral:rRNA from 1 species